CUGACUUCUGUCAAUACAAAGCGUUUAAAUAUCCCCAAUUCCCACAUCAGCAUCACCACUCUGCUGCAGAAUCUGUGACCCAACAGCAGUUUUCUGCUAGGACUGAAUUUCAUUAAAUCCAAGACAACCAUUCAGUCUGAUAGACUAUCAAGGAAAGCAGAACCAAAGAUGACAACACGUAAUUACUAAGGAACACAGAGACUUCCAGGAACAGUGGGUGUGAAAAGACUGAAUCUAAUCAACAGUGACAGGAGACUAUUUCUGCUACCAUGUUGAAUGGAAACAGACUCACAAGCAAGGACUGAUACUGUCAAGUGUGAAAGGUAAGAAACGAAAAAACAAAAAAACCCCAUGAAAUCCCAAGGGGGGCAGGGAGUAUUCUAAGGCCUAAAACAGAUUAUAUGACAUGAAUAAAGGGAUGGAACUUAAGAACCCAAGAAUCUCAGCUCUUAAUUCCCCCAACCACAAGAGAAAGGGGUAGUGAUUAAUAAUGACAUAUGCCUACUUCCCACCUGACAUGGGACGUGUGGUCCUUGAAGCAUAAGAACUGUGGUCAAGAUUCUGUGGGCACAAGUCCAGAGUGAAAGAGGAAGGGAAUGGAAACACCUGCAAGAUGUCUGAAUAAAGCAGAACAAACCAGGAUGAGCGCAGAAAAAUGUGAAUGAGCUCAGGACAGUC